UCCAACUAUUACUUUUAUUCUAUACGAAGCUAUUGAUAGGAUUCUACAUCUCGUUACUGAGAUUGUUGCAUAUCAUGCCUGUAUGGAACAGACUACAAUAGUUAUGGUUGAUAACUAUAUAUUCAACAUCUACAUAAGUGGAUAACAUCAUAUAUGAUUUCUGCAAUAUUCCUGUUUCACAAAGAUUGGUUGUACCAGAAGUUCUGUUGUGUGCAAUAACAUGCUUAUCAAUGCUAGAAGUAGAGUGUUCAUUGGACGUCAACUUUGUACUGCAAACACAAUGAAAGUAAGCAAAAGUAGAAGAUAGAAGAAUAUUUUGCAAACAUGGAAAGAGGAAGAUGAAUCUUAAUCGUUUAACAACUGCUGAAUCCUAGUGUGGAGACACAACAAGAAGCAAGAUUCUGUAGAUGUACUAUUCCUCAUAUCCAUGUUAUACUAUAAAAGAUUCAUCCUUUAUGUCUUUGUAUUCCCUGAAUCUACAUACCCUGAAAGAAGGUAAAAAAUUUAUUCAGCAAGAGAAAAUAUUUGUCACCCGUAUCAAUAGAGAAAAAAAGUUGAAAAG
rnacentral:lncRNA from 1 species